UUAAGUUGUUGCAGUUAAAAAGCUCGUAGUUGGAUUUCUGGUGGCAGUGACCGGUCCGCGUCCUCGUGGCGUGUGCACUUGAGCGCUGCUUCCAUUUUCGUGGGGAACCGUCUGGGGUUAACGCUCUGGGCGAGGAUCCGCGUCGUUUACUGUGAAAAAAUUAGAGUGUUUAAAGCAGGCGUAUGCCUUGAAUACAUUAGCAUGGAAUAAUAAGAUAGGACUAUGGUGCUAUUUUGUUGGUUUGCGUACUAUGGUAAUGAU
rnacentral:rRNA from 14 species